rnacentral:misc_RNA from 1 species
GAUGAAGAACGCAGCGAAAUGCGAAAAGUAAUGUGAAUUGCAGAAUUCAGUGAAUCAUCGAAUCUUUGAACGCACAUUGCGCCCGCUGGUAUUCCGGCGGGCAUGCCUGUUCGAGCGUCAUUUCAACCCUCAAGCCCCCGGGUUUGGUGUUGGGGAUCGGCUCUGCCCUUCUGGGCGGUGCCGCCCCCGAAAUACAUUGGCGGUCUCGCUGCAGCCUCCAUUGCGUAGUAGCUAACACCUCGCAACUGGAACGCGGCGCGGCCAUGCCGUAAAACCCCAACUUCUGAAUGUUGACCUCGGAUCAGGUAGGAAUACCCGCUGAACUUAAGCAUAUCAAUAAGCGGAGGA